rnacentral:rRNA from 1 species
GAUGAACGCUAGCGGGAGGCUUAACAACAUGCAAGUCGAGGGGCAGCAUAGGGUAGCAAUACUCUGAUGGCGACCGGCAAACGGGUGAGUAACGCGUAUGCAACCUACCCUGUACAGGGGGAUAACCCGGAGAAAUUCGGACUAAUAUCCCGUAAUAAUAUCCGGAGGCAUCUUUGGAUAUUUAAAGUUCCGACGGUACGGGAUGGGCAUGCGUAACAUUAACUGGUUGGUAAGGUAACGGCUUACCAAGGCUAUGAUGUUUAGGGGUCCUGAGAGGGUGGUCCCCCACACUGGUACUGAGACACGGACCAGACUCCUACGGGAGGCAGCAGUGAGGAAUAUUGGUCAAUGGGCGCAAGCCUGAACCAGCCAUCCCGCGUGCAGGAAGACGGCCCUAUGGGUUGUAAACUGCUUUUCCAGGGAGAGAAACUUACGCACGUGUUGCGUGACUGACGGUACCCUGGGAAUAAGCAUCGGCUAACUCCGUG